rnacentral:rRNA from 1 species
GUGCACCAGUCGAGAAUUUUUCUCAAUGGGGGAAACCCUGAAGGAGCGACGCCGCGUGGAGGAUGAAGGUCUUCGGAUUGUAAACUCCUGUCAUUUGGGAACAAUGCGCAUUGGUUAACUGCCGAUGCAUUGAUAGUACCAGAAGAGGAAGAGACGGCUAACUCUGUGCCAGCAGCCGCGGUAAUACAGAGGUCUCAAGCGUUGUUCGGAUUCAUUGGGCGUAAAGGGUGCGUAGGUGGCGGGGCAAGUCAGGUGUGAAAUCUCGGGGCUCAACCUCGAAACUGCACUUGAUACUGCCUUGCUUGAGUAUUGGAGAGGAGAUUGGAAUUUACGGUGUAGCAGUGAAAUGCGUAGAUAUCGUAAGGAAGACCAGUGGCGAAGGCGAAUCUCUGGACAAUUACUGACACUGAGGCACGAAGGCCAGGGGAGCAAACGGGAUUAGAUACCCCCGUAGU